UUUUUUUUUUUUUUUUCCUUUGAGACAGGGUUUUACUUCUGGCACCCGGGCUGGAGUGCAAUAGCGGGAUCUCAGCUCACUGUAACUUCCACCUCCUGAGUUCAAGUAAUUCUCCUGCCUCAGCCUCCCAAGUAGCUAGAACUGUAGGUGCACACCACUGCACCCAGCUAAUUUUUGUAAUUUUUGUAGAGAUGUUAUUUCAUCACAUUGCCCAGGCUGGUCUCCAGCUCCUGACCUCAAGUGAUCCACCUGCCUUGGCCUCCCAAAGUGCUGGGAUUACUGGCGUGAGCCACUGCACCCAGCCCCUGUCAUUGUUUUUCAUAAUCGUGCCAGAUUGAAAAGGCUUUUUGCCUUGGGCAAGCUCCAAGGCAGAUCAAAUGCAGUCUAGCAAGUCAGGUGUUACAGAGAACCACCAAACACUUCAAUUGUGAUAAUUCCUGGAAAUAAAGCUUUAAGGGAGAUCCAGCUCUUCUGCUUCCUCCAGUAGCUGUUGGGUUGCUGGUGUUCACCGUGAAUGUGAACUUUAAUUUUCUGGGUUACUGUGGAACUGCCAAGCAGGAGACAAGAGAAAGAAAAAUUAAACUGCCACGAAACUCACUGCUCUGAGAUUACACUGGUUUGUUUUUGUUUGUUUUUCUAGAAGGAAUAUCCUCUGGAUUAUUACAAGCUUUUAGCUAAUUUCCUGAGGUCUAAAAAUGUUAAUGGGCCAGGCGCAGUGGCUCAUGCCUGUGAUCCGACCACUUUGGGAGGAUUGCUUGAGCCCAAGAGUUCAAAACCAGCCCGGGCAACAUAGCAAGACCUCCGCUCUACAAAAAUGAAAACUUUAGCCAAGUACAGUGGUGCACACCUGUAGUCCCAGCUAUUUAGGAGGCUUUAUAAAGGUGGAUAAAUCCAGAGGUGGGAGGAUCACUUUAAGUCCAGAAGUAUGAGGUUGCUGUGAGCUAUGAUUGCAUCACAGAACUCUAGCCUGGGCAACAGAGCAAGACCCUUUCUCUUAAAAAAAAUGAUAAUAGUAAAAAUCAAAAUGGUAAUGGUGACCAUUUGUUGCCAGUUUUCCCAUUUUUUCGUAGAAAGAAUUUUUGGAGGUCUUUCAUCUGCCCUUUUCUCCAAAGUCAUUCACUCAGCUGCAUUUUUAGAAAAACCUAGGGCCAUAGUACAUGAGUAGUUAUCCCUGGAUGUUUGUGAUAGUCACAAUUCAGCAUAAAUUAUAUCUCAGAUGAAAACUUUUCUUGCAGUGAUAUUCAUAGCAUUCAGUCAAAUAUAUAAAAUUAAACCUAAGAACAGGCCAGAUGCAGUGGCCCAGGACUGUAAUCCCAGCACUUUGGGAUGCUGAAGUGGGAGGAUCAUUUGAGACCAGGAGUUUGAGGCCACCCCUGGCAACAUAGUGAGACCUCAUUUCUACAAUAAUAAAAAAUAAAUAACUGAAUUAGCUGGGUGUGGUGAUGCACACUGGCAGUCCCAGCUGUUCUGUCAGCAGAGGUAAGAGGGUUACUUGAGCCUGGGAGCUUGAGGCUACAGUGAGCUGUGGUUCUGCCACUGCACUCCAGCCUGGGAGACAAAGUGAGACCCUCCACCCCGCCUCCCAAAAAGGAAGAGAACCUAAUUUUAACGGGAAUUUCCCUAAAAUGUUAUACUGAAUACUAUGGCCUGGUAACUUCGGUUAAUAUUGGCAACAUUCUAUGAUUGAAUUUACAUGUUAGAUGGCUCUUUUUCUCCCCAGGCAGGGUCUCGGUCUGUCACCUAGGCUGGAGUGCAGUGGCAUGACCAUAGCCCACUGCAGCCCCUACCUCCUGGGAUCCAGUGAUGUUCCCACCUCAGCCUCCUGAGUAACUGAGACUACAGGCACAUGCCAGCAU
rnacentral:lncRNA from 1 species